rnacentral:lncRNA from 1 species
UUUUUUUUUUUUUUUAAUGGAUGGACCUAGAGAUUAUCACACUAAGUGAAGUUAUUAUCACUAAGUAGAGUUAGACAGUGAAGGACAAACACCAUAUGAUAUCAUUUAUACGUGGAAUCUUAAAAAAAAAGGAUACAAAUGAACUUAUUUGCAGAACAAAAACCUACUAAUAGACUUUGAAAAACUUAUAGUUACCAAAGGGGACAGGUGGCAGGGGGGUGGGGGAGAGGGAAGGAUGAAGUGGGGGUUUAGAAUUGGCAUAUGGGGACCUGCUAUAUAGCAGAAGGAACUCUACCAGAUCUUCUGAGAUAAUCAAGAUGAAAAAAAGAAUCUGAAAGAGAAUGGAUGUAUGUACAUUUAUAAUCACUUUGUUGUACAGCAGAAAUUAUCACAUUGUAAAUCAACUAUACUUCAAUAAAACUUUAAAAAAUGAAAAAAAAAAUCCUACUGUUUUCAAAUGGUAGAACCCCCACUCAAAUUUGCUUCAACCAGAAAUAGAAUUAAUCAGCCUACGUCAUUGGAAAACUCAGAAGUGAUUCAGUUCAGGCACAGCUGGAUCCAGGUGUUCCAAUAAUAUCAUCAGUAGGCACCAGCCCCUCUCUGCCUCUCUCCACCCAUUCACUUUAAUUUCAUCUAUACUGGCUUCAUUCUCAGGGCACUAAGAAUGAAGCCCUGUUACACUGUCAGGGCAGGAGGGCUGUUAGCCUAACCAUCUUGGUGGUACACAUCCCUCGUGCUCUCGAGAACAAGCACAUCCUUCCAGAUAGUGCUGGAGAAAGUUCCAAGAGGACUCUGAUUGUUCCAUCCUGGCUCAGGGCCUUAAACCCAUAUCUGUGCCAGGGAAGUGACUGUAUCAUGGGAGCCUUCUUUGGGUCAGGGCCACUGAACCUAACAUCGUGAAAUGAGAGAAUGCAGCAGAUGUUGUCAGGGACCCAAGUAUAAGACCUGGGACUCAACACUCCUACAUCCACAGUUUCCAACUAGAAGCACCCCUUCCCAGUGGAAGACUGCCUGGAGGCUUCCACUGGGAAGGGGACCAUGCUCCAGUCAUGUACAGGGCAGCGCAGAAGUGUCAGAGGGUCAAUGCCCCCAGGAGCAGCCCUCAACCAAAGGUGCAUAGGAAUCAGUCAAAAAAUACCCCAGCUUCUUCAUACACCCCUCCCUUGGGUGGGUUCUGCACAGUGCCCCUGAGGUUCCCAGCAGGUCCGAGCUCUAACUGCUCACAAUGGAAACCUGAAUGCACUCCCUCCUGGGUUCUCUACUCCCCUGCUGGUGCCUCCUACAGUCAUCAGCCAAACGAACUACUGCAGUCAAGUCCUAAGUCUUUGUUGUCUUCUGGCAGGGUUGCUGGGAAUUCAAAACAUUUCCAUCAUCAGACUAUCUGCAGGAGGUUCCUGCCAUCACAGAGACAGGCUUCUUAUCCAGAGUUAGGGAUUCAUAUACACAUAUUUUUUAAAGUAUAUAUUGUAUGAGUCUAGGUCCUCUCAGGAGCAGAUGCCAACAUGAGAUUAAAAAUGCAUGCUUUUAUUAUGGGAAACACUCAUAAGGGAAAAUAGGGAAAGAGGUGGGAACGGCUGGGAGAGCCAUCAGACCCCAGUGCCAGUCGGACCCCGAGUGAAGGACAGAGGGUAGGAAAAAGCAUCCUAGAAUGUGUGCUAAGGAAAUUUCAACCAGGCUUAGUGCCACAGCCAUCCAAGGAGCCUGCAUCUCUUAGGAAUAGGUCUGCCCCAGUAUCUCCACUUUGUCACUGGCUGGGAACAGACUGUGGGAAGCGUGGCUUUGGUGCCAAAGUAAGGAUCCAGCUCAGAACUCAGUAGCUGGGAAAUCACAAGCCAGUUAUAAUCCCUGUUUCUGCAUGGCACGUUCAUGGCUGCCACGUAUAUUACUAAAGAAUCCCCACACAUUCAGAGAAUUAAGAAGCUCUGCCACAGUUUUCUGAGGCCCAGAGUCAGAAAAAGAAAGAAAAAGUGCCCCAAGAGCCAGUGAGAUUCAGGCUCCAGGGACCAUGAAAAUUCAUGGCAUUAGUGUUCCUAUAGCAGAGGAUUCUGCUUGUGGGUGAAAAGCAGGCAGUGAAAAGAGCCCUGUUUGGAUGUGACGGCCUCCCCCAUCCCCUGCAAACCACAAAGCCAAGCAUAUUCUAAGUGUGGCAAGAAGCCCAAUCCUCUUUUUUUGUUGUUUUCACCAGCACUUCUUGGACCAGGGUACAUCUGAAAGCAAAGCUGAUCAGUUUCCUCUCAGCACCAUUAAAAGUGAUUAAAUGCUCAUCCUUUAGAAACCUGUGCAGCCUUUUUGUGCAUUUCCCUAGAAAGAGAGUUGCCAUCAUUUGCUAAAGGUAAGUAGGGAGAGGGAGUUAAAGAUAGGAGUGUUUUGGAGUCAUCCCCCUGCAGAGCACAUCUCACCCCCAAACUUGCCAGUGUGUCCCCAUAACUGCUAGAGUCUAGACCAGGGGUCAGCAAACUACAAACAGCCCCAGGGCCAAAUCCAGAUGCUGCUGAUUUUAUAAGUAAAGUUUUAUUGGAAGGCAGCCACACCCACUUGUUAAUCCUUUUGUGUCUGUUUUCUCUUUUCCAACAGCAGAGUAGAGUGGCUGGGACAGAGGCUGUUGACCGACACACAGCCUCAAAUGUUCCCUAUCUGGCUCUUAAGAAUAAAUUCACUGAUACACUCUAGAUUAUUUCCAAAAGGCAACUGGAGGGGAAAGAAGAGAAUAUAGGAGAGACUAGGAGGAAAUAAAAGGAAAUAUUUGAAAUAGUACUUAAACUCCAUAGCAAUCCAAUGAGGCUGGCAUAAAUUACGAGGAAACCGAGGCACAGAGAGCUCAGAUGACUUGUUCAAGGUCAUACAGUCAGCACACAUUGACCUGGAUGU